UACUAUCUUUUUCCAGGCUGUUCACCUUUCCUGAUUUGAAUUCUUGUAGAACCAGGCCUGAGGGACGGCGCUGGCUGUGGUGGCAGCUGGACAGGAACCCCUGAGGCCAGGAACACAAUGAAAGGUGCAGUGUCGUGGGCAGCUGGUUGGGAAGGGAAGCUGGAGUUGGAAAAGCUUUCCAGGGAAGGGCUGUUCUCCAUAUGUCCCUCUCCCUGGAGUGAUCCAGCGUGGGGCUGCAGUGCUCUGCAGAGUCAGGAGGCAGCUAGCUCCCUGCGCCACGGGGGCUUCACUCCCACGGCAUGUUUAGCCCCUGGUUUGCAGUGACUCAGAGCUUUCCUGGAAGCCAAAUACUGCCAUGGCCAUCUGGUAAUUCCCUAACAUGGGUGAGCAAUGGUGCUGCAGGACUCUGACCUACCUGCAAAGCUGAAGCAAAGUGGGGCUGAACCUGUGCAUGUGGUGCAAAUAAAAGGUUAUGCAGGAUGUGAAAGUCCAUGGUUGGGAGGAGGUUCCCUGUGAGCACAGGUGAUAGGACAUGGUGGUCCUCAAGAAUCUCCAGAGAGCUCCUAAAAGAGUGGGAAGGAGAAAGGAGCCAUAACCCAGCCCUGCUGCUCCCCUCUGGCCUCCUCCUGUGGCACAUGGAGGAGCAGAGCCAGCCCUCACACUGGGCUUCCAAGAACUUCUAAAAGGGCUGCCAAGCAUGGGCUGGAUUUUGCUGGCUCUUGUUUCUAAAGUGCUCCCAGCUGCCUGGCCCCUGGGUGCCAGCACAAAGCCACUUUCCUGAGCACCGUGUCCCAGCUGGAAUGCAGGCAGCACAGGGGACUUUGCCAGCUGAUCCCCCUCCUUCUCCUGCCCUCAUCUCCACCUGGACAAGGUGGCCACAUGUUGGUGGUUGUGGUGAGCUCCAGUUUGCUCUGGUAGCUCCUGGUGUGGGUCAGAUGGCUGGUGGCAUCCCCAGAAGAAGGGGAGCUGGGCUUCACCCCAGUUCACCAACCCAUGGAGUGCCCUGGCAUCCAGGCAGAAGCUCCUGGCUUUGGAUCAACGCUGGCUUGUGCUGGGAGAAGCACUCCAACCCUGAAACACAAGGUCCUGCUCUGAAAGGGCAGGGGGGGCAGCCAACCCACCAAACCCAAAAUGGAGCAGCCCUGUGGCACCCCCAAAAUGUGAUUUUUCUGCCCUUGUUCGGCUGCCCCAGCAUGUGAGUCCUUGCUCGUGAGCAUCCUGGCUGCCAGUCAUUGGCCCAUGUGUUGGGGGAUUUUUGUUCCAAAUAAUUUGAGUUAAUGGGGUGUUUGUUUUUUUUUAGAGCAGCUAUUAAAUAGUUUUUCCUUAUUA